GAAUGGAGCGUUAAUGAUCG
rnacentral:miRNA from 1 species